rnacentral:rRNA from 1 species
AACGAACGCUGGCGGCAGGCCUAACACAUGCAAGUCGAACGGAUGUAGCAAUACAUUAGUGGCGCACGGGAGAGUAACACGUGGGAAUCUACCUUUUGGUUCGGAAUAACGUCGGGAAACUGACGCUAAUACCGGAUAAGCCCUACGGGGGAAAGUUUUUCGCCAAAAGAUGAGCCCGCGCUAGAUUAGCUUGUUGGUGGGGUAAUGGCUCACCAAGGCUACGAUCUAUAGCUGGUCUGAGAGGAUGACCAGCCUCACUGGGACUGAGACACGGCCCAGACUCCUACGGGAGGCAGAAGUGGGGAAUAGUGGACAAUGGGGGAAGCCCUGAUCCAGCCAUGCCGCGUGAAUGAUGAAGGCCUUCGGGUUGUAAAGUUCUUUUGGUAGGGACGAUGAUGACGGUACCUACAGAAUAAGCUCCGGCUAACUUCGUGCCAGCCGCCGCCGUAA